AAGAGCCCAACGCACGGUUGACCAAGGCGAUAGCAGCUGAAAAGGAAAAAGGUGAAAGCAUGCAACAAUUGGAACAGAGACAGAAGUUUCAAAAGAUUAGUGUCUCAGAUAAAGCAGAUGUCUCUACUAAUGGGUUGCAAAACUCUCCAGAAAAGCAAGCAACUCGAGAUACAGGCUCCACAAAAGUUAAGAACCGUGUGGUGCCAGCUCAUCGCAGGCAAG